UGAAGGCCUCAAGGAGCAGAAAGAAUCACCACUCAUCUGAAUCUUAAAGGUUUGGGAUACCACUGUAGAGAGUGACACCUGUGCUGACGAUAUAUCUCUCAACCCUUCAAGUAAAGAGGGCAUUAGAGGAUGCUACUGUGACAGGAAGGAUAAGAUUUCCUGAACAUAUGCUGCCCAAGCUGAGAAGCGUGAUGUCCCACCAUCUAGAUUAAUAAAGCUACUUCAAGGGCAGCAAUGCAGCUGGAGGCAGAGAAAGCAGCUCUCCAGCAGAAGCUGGUGGAGUUUUCCGUGAUCAAUCAAGGCCUCCAGGAAAGAUUGGAGAAGCUAUCGAGGCUCAACUGCAGACUCCAGAACCAAUUUUUCAGCACCUGCACGCAGACCUGAGGACCACUGCAAUCGCUUGUGCGGACACUGCAACCCAUGACCAUGCCUCUCAGAGCAACAACCCUGCCCAGGCCUGCACAGAUUGAAGCUGUACCCGCAUUUAUUCGUACAGUUGGGGCAAGUGGACAUGCGGAGGUG